UACGGAGGGGGCUAGCGUUGUUCGGAAUUACUGGGCGUAAAGCGCGCGUAGGCGGUCCUGCAAGUCGGGGGUGAAAGCCCGAGGCUCAACCUCGGAACUGCCUUCGAUACUGCGGGUCUCGAGUCCGGGAGAGGUGAGUGGAAUUCCUAGUGUAGAGGUGAAAUUCGUAGAUAUUAGCUAGAACACCAGUGGCGAAGGCGGCCAACUGGUCCGGCACUGACGCUGAGGUGCGAAAGCGUGGGGAGCAAACAGG
rnacentral:rRNA from 1 species